AGUGAACGCUGGCGAUAGGCCUAACACAUGCAAGUCGAACGGCAGCACAGUAAGAGCUUGCUCUUACGGGUGGCGAGUGGCGGACGGGUGAGGCAUACAUCGGAAUCUACUUUUUCGUGGGGGAUAACGUAGGGAAACUUACGCUAAUACCGCAUACGACCUACGGGUGAAAGCAGGGGAUCUUCGGACCUUGCGCGAUUGAAUGAGCCGAUGUCGGAUUAGCUAGUUGGCGGGGUAAAGGCCCACCAAGGCGACGAUCCGUAGCUGGUCUGAGAGGAUGAUCAGCCACACUGGAACUGAGACACGGUCCAGACUCCUACGGGAGGCAGCAGUGGGGAAUAUUGGACAAUGGGCGCAAGCCUGAUCCAGCCAUACCGCGUGGGUGAAGAAGGCCUUCGGGUUGUAAAGCCCUUUUGUUGGGAAAGAAAAGCAGCAGGUUAAUACCCCGCUGUUCUGACGGUACCCAAAGAAUAAGCACCGGCUAACUUCGUG
rnacentral:rRNA from 1 species